CACCCUUGUCUUUUGCGCACUUGUUGUUUCCUGGGCGGGUUCGCCCGCCACCAGGACCACACCAUAAACCUUUUUUAUGCAGUUGCAAUCAGCGUCAGUAUAACAAAUGUAAAUCAUUUACAACUUUCAACAACGGAUCUCUUGGUUCUGGCAUCGAUGAAGAACGCAGCGAAAUGCGAUACGUAGUGUGAAUUGCAGAAUUCAGUGAAUCAUCGAAUCUUUGAACGCACAUUGCGCCCUUUGGUAUUCCAAAGGGCAUGCCUGUUCGAGCGUCAUUUGUACCCUCAAGCUUUGCUUGGUGUUGGGCGUCUUUUGUCUUUGGCCUCGCCCAAAGACUCGCCUUAAAACGAUUGGCAGCCGGCCUACUGGUUUCGCAGCGCAGCACAUUUUUGCGCUUUGCAAUCAGCACAAGGACGGCAAUCCAUCAAGACUACAUUUUUACGUUUGACCUCGGAUCAGGUAGGGAAACCAACCCC
rnacentral:rRNA from 1 species